AGAGUUUGAUCCUGGCUCAGGAUGAACGCUAGCGGCGCACCUAAAACAUGCAAGUCGUACACUCGCAAGAGUGUGGCAAACGGGUGAGUAACGCGUAGGAAUCUGCCUCAAUCCGGGAAAUACCCUGCCGAAAGGUGGGUUAAUGUCCCAUGUGCUCGCAAGAGUAAAGCUCCGGCGGAUUGAGAGGAGCCUGCGUCCUAUCAGCUUGUUGGUGGGGUAAUUGCCUACCAAGGCUAUGACGGGUAGCUGGUCUUAGGGGAUGAUCAGCCACAAUGGCACUGAGACACGGGCCAUACACCUACGGGUGGCAGCAGUUAGGAAUCGUACACAAUGGACGAAAGUCUGAUGUCGUGACGCCGCGUGAAGGAUGAAGGUUUACGGAUCGUAAACUUCUUUUCUGUAGGAUGAUUAUGACAGUACUACAGGAAUAAGCACCGGCUAACUACGUGCCAGAAGCCUCGGUAAUACGUAGGGUGCGAGCGUUAUCCGGAAUUAUUGGGCGUAAAGAGCGCGUAGGCGGUCUAUCAAGUCCAGUCUUAAAGCUUGCAGCCUAACUGCAGAGAUGGACUGGAAACUGUUGGACUUGAGUAAUUGCAGGGGUGAGCGGAAUCUACGGUGUAGGGGUAAAAUCCAUUGAUAUCGUAGAGAACACCAAUGGCGAAGGCAGCUCACUAGGCAUUCACUGACGCUGAGGCGCGAAAGCGUGGGUAGCGAACGGGAUUAGAUACCCCGGUAGUCCACGCCGUAAACGAUGCGAACUAGGUAUUGGGAUUUUCGACCGUCUUGGUACCGAAGCUAACGCGUUAAGUUCGCCGCCUGGGGAGUACGAGCGCAAGCUUAAAACUCAAAUGAAUUGACGG
rnacentral:rRNA from 1 species